AUUGAACGCUGGCGGCGGGCCUCACACAUGCAAGUCGAACGAGAGGCGGACGGGUGAGUAAUGUCUGGGAAACUGCCUGAUGGAGGGGGAUAAGUACGGUAAACGGUAGCUAAUACCGCAUACCAUCAGAUGUGCCCAGGUGGGAGUAGCUUUUUGGGGGGGUAACGGCGCACAAAGACGACGAUGCCUAGCUGGUCUGAGAGGAUGAGCAGCCACACUGGAACGUAGACACGGUCUAGACUCCUACGGGAGGCAGCAGUGGGGAAUAUUGGACAAUGGGCGAAAGCCGGAGGCAGCCAGGCCGCGUGUAUGAAGAAGGCCUUCGGUUCGUAAAGUACUUUCAGCAGGGAGGCGGUACCCGCAGAAGAAGCACCGGCUAACUCCGUGCCAGCAGCCGCGGUAAUAC
rnacentral:rRNA from 1 species